CGCUGAUGACACCAAAAUGACGGGCGGUCUGGAACCCUGAUGAUUGAUGUCUUGCGGCUGAGC
rnacentral:snoRNA from 1 species